UGGAUGAACGCUAGCUACAGGCUUAACACAUGCAAGUCGAGGGGCAGCAUGGUCUUAGCUUGCUAAGGCCGAUGGCGACCGGCGCACGGGUGAGUAACACGUAUCCAACCUGCCGUCUACUCUUGGACAGCCUUCUGAAAGGAAGAUUAAUACAAGAUGGCAUCAUGAGUCCGCAUGUUCACAUGAUUAAAGGUAUUCCGGUAGACGAUGGGGAUGCGUUCCAUUAGAUAGUAGGCGGGGUAACGGCCCACCUAGUCUUCGAUGGAUAGGGGUUCUGAGAGGAAGGUCCCCCACAUUGGAACUGAGACACGGUCCAAACUCCUACGGGAGGCAGCAGUGAGGAAUAUUGGUCAAUGGGCGAGAGCCUGAACCAGCCAAGUAGCGUGAAGGAUGACUGCCCUAUGGGUUGUAAACUUCUUUUAUAAAGGAAUAAAGUCGGGUAUGCAUACCCGUUUGCAUGUACUUUAUGAAUAAGGAUCGGCUAACUCCGUGCCAGCAGCCGCGGUAAUACGGAGGAUCCGAGCGUUAUCCGGAUUUAUUGGGUUUAAAGGGAGCGUAGAUGGAUGUUUAAGUCAGUUGUGAAAGUUUGCGGCUCAACCGUAAAAUUGCAGUUGAUACUGGAUAUCUUGAGUGCAGUUGAGGCAGGCGGAAUUCGUGGUGUAGCGGUGAAAUGCUUAGAUAUCACGAAGAACUCCGAUUGCGAAGGCAGCCUGCUAAGCUGCAACUGACAUUGAGGCUCGAAAGUGUGGGUAUCAAACAGGAUUAGAUACCCUGGUAGUCCACACGGUAAACGAUGAAUACUCGCUGUUUGCGAUAUACGGCAAGCGGCCAAGGAAAAGCGUUUAAUAUUCCACCUGGGGGAGUACGCCGGCAACGGUGAAACUCAAAGGAAUUGACGGGGGCCCGCACAAGCGGGAGGAACAAUGUGGUUUAAUUCGAAUGAUACGCGAGGAACCUUACCCGGGCUUAAAUUGCAGAUGAAUUACGGUGAAAGCCGUAAGCCGCAAGGCAUCUGUGAAGGUGCUGCAUGGUUGUCGUCAGCUCGUGCCGUGAGGUGUCGGCUUAAGUGCCAUAACGAGCGCAACCCUUGUUGUCAGUUACUAACAGGUUCCGCUGAGGACUCUGACAAGACUGCCAUCGUAAGAUGUGAGGAAGGUGGGGAUGACGUCAAAUCAGCACGGCCCUUACGUCCGGGGCUACACACGUGUUACAAUGGGGGGUACAGAGGGCCGCUACCACGCGAGUGGAUGCCAAUCCCCAAAACCUCUCUCAGUUCGGACUGGAGUCUGCAACCCGACUCCACGAAGCUGGAUUCGCUAGUAAUCGCGCAUCAGCCACGGC
rnacentral:rRNA from 1 species